ACUAGGCCAUAUUCCCAGCCGAUUUUUUUUUUUUUUUGCUAUACUAAAUUUUCAAGUUUGAGGUUGUCAUCUUCUGCAGAAAAUUGCUAAUAGUGGGUUAAAAGAACAUUUGAUCACAGUAAAAUCAUUACCUCCUUCAUUUGUUGGCAAAGCAGUACUUUUGAGAAAAAAUUAUAAAAAUAUGACAACACAAAAAUGUCCCUGAGAGAGUUGAGUUAUAUUUAUGUGCUCCAGUGGAUCUAUUCCAGAAUUGGAGAUUCCAGUCAUAAGCUAUGGUCUCUCAUAACCACAUACCUGUUUUACAUUAAUCAGAAGCCAAAACUGCCCUGGGAUAUGUGUGCAGGAAUUAAAAAGAGUUUGAUAAACCCUGGUUUUAAGAGUUGUUGAAGGAAAUCAGUGGACUGAGGAUUUGGUGCUCAAAACCAAAACUCUUUUUCCUGUCUCCCUUCUUCCCAUGGUCUGUCUACACCUGCUAGGGUUGAAUAGCACCCAUUGCUCCCCUGUGGGGCUUCAAAGCCACACUGAGCUGAGCAACUAGAGAACCUCCACCUCAGCUUCCCUGGGCACCCAGGGAGCCCACACACAGAUGUCCCCAUGCCAUUUUGUUUGUGACUUGUAGGCCUUCCCUAUAACUGUACUAGCUUUUUUUUGACAUUGCUCUCUAUUCCUAGAGUAGAACUUCUUCUGAUUUCCCCAUAGUAUAGAUUCCCCAUCUCUUAAACUAAAGCUCAACAGUAGUAGUUCAGUGGUAAUUAAUUCAUGUCUUCUGCAUUCUCAAGGCCCCAAGUAACACUCUCUGUCUUUCUCUCUGUCUGUCUCUGUGUGUGUGUCUGGGUGUCUGUGUCUGUGUCUGUCUGUCUGU